GCCGGAAAGCGUGUUAAUAAGGCAGUGGAAAUAAAAUACAGGUCAUUGGAAAUCGAAUGCAUUCAAAGGUUAUGUUCGUUAACAUUAUUGGUGUCUUACAAUUUUUGCUUGUUUUAUCUUAGGUUUAGCAGCUGUCCGCAUCUGGAUGGUGGGGCACAGCAUCAGUGCACGGCAGUCCGGUUUGGGACCGGGUCUCGGCCUUCCUCCACAUGUGCAGUUGCUUUGGCUGUCCAGACGGGGAAUGCGCCAGCCAGAAUUCCUGCCGCUGAUUCGGAGGCAGGUGCUGCUGGAAGGGCCGCCCACUGCUGUUGGGGUGCAGCUGGGUGAGAACGACCUGGUUUCCAUGGACUGUUUUUUCACUACGUGCUGCAAUUUUGGGUGACCUGGAGAAGCUGCGGGCAGUGGUGCCGACAGCAAAAAUAUUUUGGUCAAAGCUUUUGCAACGACGUGUUUGGAAGGGUAGUCGUUGCCCAGCUGCCACUGAAAGGGCCAGGAAGCGCAUCAAUUCUGCUGUGUCUAAAAAGAUUUUUGAGCUGGGUGGAGAUGUGAUUUCCCAUCCUGAGAUUCUUUUUCAGGCUGCAUCCUUUUUCAGAGCUGAUGGCGCGCAUCUUUCUGCCUCAGGGAAUGAGGCUUGGCUGGGUGCAGUGGUGGCCAAGCUGAGGGCUUGGUUGGGUCUGUGAGUGGUUUGGCGGUGAGCUGUGGGCUCCAUGGCGGUUAGGCAUUGGUUAAAUUGGUGCUUGGAGGGGUAAGUGCCUAUCCCUCCAAAUGAUGCGGAAAGGGAAUUCCGUUAAAGGAAUCCAGGGGCUUGCCAUUCUUUUCGUCCUUGUCCCUGGAAUCGGACUUGGGCCGUGCAAGCCCCACAGGAACAUGAGGGUGAGAAGUGAGGGACUGAUACCCAGCUUCAUUUUCUCACCCAAUACUUGUUUCCCACGCUGGCUUCCGUUGGUGUCCGGAAGGCCAGCUCUGUCCCUGAGGGCAAGGACAGAUAGUCAUAACCAAUGCCUAAGCAACCACUCACAUUUUUUGUAUUUUGAAUAAAGUUGUGGCCAAAAUUAUGCCAAAAACCUUAAACAAAAAUUGAUGUGUGAAGUGUGAAUUUUUUGGGGGGUGGCAUUGUGGGACUCAACACGCAAAGCGUGUUCUCCCUAACAGAGAGCACGUGUUGCGGUUGGGGGAACAAGCCACCCUGCCGUUACUGGGCAGAUUUUGUGAGGAACCCAAGCCUUUAAGUGGUUAAAAUUGGGUUGCUGGGGAGUUUUGAUUGUUGCCAAUUUGGAGGAGGGGUCAGAGUCUUUAAAUACAGGGGCCAGACGUUGGACGUCCUCUUGGCCAUUUUGCACCGGAUCACCCGCCCUCCCUCCCUUUAAUAGGGUGGUUUUUUCUUGAUCGCUUGACCUUGCUAUGCCUGUCAUGGGGUCGUCCGCCUUGGAGCGGGGGCCUGGUAGGAAUUUUGCCAUCUGGCUGAUUGGCUGGUGCCAUUUGGUUUUUGCCUACUGCGUAGCAAAUCGUCACAACUUGUAAGGUUGGCGGUUAGGCAUUGGUUAAAUUGGUGCUUGGAGGGGUAAGUGCCUAUCCCUCCAAAUGAUGCGGAAAGGGAAUUCCGUUAAAGGAAUCCAGGGGCUUGCCAUUCUUUUCGUCCUUGUCCCUGGAAUCGGACUUGGGCCGUGCAAGCCCCACAGGAACAUGAGGGUGAGAAGUGAGGGACUGAUACCCAGCUUCAUUUUCUCACCCAAUACUUGUUUCCCACGCUGGCUUCCGUUGGUGUCCGGAAGGCCAGCUCUGUCCCUGAGGGCAAGGACAGAUAGUCAUAACCAAUGCCUAAGCAACCACUCACAUUUUUUGUAUUUUGAAUAAAGUUGUGGCCAAAAUUAUGCCAAAAACCUUAAACAAAAAUUGAUGUGUGAAGUGUGAAUUUUUUGGGGGGUGGCAUUGUGGGACUCAACACGCAA